AGUGAACGCUGGCGGUAGGCCUAACACAUGCAAGUCGAACGGCAGCACAGUAAGAGCUUGCUCUUACGGGUGGCGAGUGGCGGACGGGUGAGGAAUACAUCGGAAUCUACUUUUUCGUGGGGGCUAACGUAGGGAAACUUACGCUAAUACCGCAUACGACCUACGGGGGAAAGCCGGGGAUCUUCGGCCCUUGCGCGAGUGAAUGAGCCGAUGUCGGAUUAGCUAGUUGGCGGGGUAAAGGCCCACCAAGGCGACGAUCCGUAGCUGGACUGAGAGUAUGAUCAGCCACAGUGGAACUGAGACACGGUCCAGACUCCAACGGGAGGCAGCAGUGGGAAUAUUGGACAAUGGGCGCAAGCCUGAUCCAGCCAUACCGCGUGGGUGAAGAAGGCCUUCGGGUUGUAAAGACCUUUUGUUGGGAAAGAAAAGCAGCAGGUUAAUACCCCGCUGUUCUGACGGUACCCAAAGAAUAAGCACCGGCUAACUUCGUG
rnacentral:rRNA from 1 species